rnacentral:rRNA from 1 species
UACGUAGGGUGCGAGCGUUGUCCGGAAUUAUUGGGCGUAAAGGGCUCGUAGGCGGUUUGUCACGUCGGGAGUGAAAACUCAGGGCUUAACCCUGAGCCUGCUUCCGAUACGGGCAGACUAGAGGUAUGCAGGGGAGAACGGAAUUCCCGGUGUAGCGGUGAAAUGCGCAGAUAUCGGGAGGAACACCGGUGGCGAAGGCGGUUCUCUGGGCCUGUACUGACGCUGAGGAGCGAAAGCGUGGGGAGCGAACAGG